AUUCAAAGUCAUGAAAGGCAGGGACCUACAUCCAAGAUUGCUCUAUCCAGCAAAGCAGUCAUUUAGAAUCGAACGGCAGAUAAAGAGCUUCCCAGACAAGAAAAAACUAAAGGAGUUCAUCAUCACCAAACCAUUAUUAUAUGAAAUGUUAAAGGGACUUAUUUAAGAAAAA